rnacentral:rRNA from 1 species
GACGUAGGGGACGAGCGUUGUCCGGAUUCAUUGGGCGUAAAGGGUGCGUAGGCGGUCGGGUAAGUCGGAUGUGAAAUCCUGGGGCUCAACCUCAGAACUGCAUUCGAUACUGCCUGGCUGGAGGAUUGGAGAGGAGAGUGGAAUUCACGGUGUAGCAGUGAAAUGCGUAGAGAUCGUGAGGAAGACCAACGGCGAAGGCAGCUCUCUGGACAAUUCCUGACGCUGAGGCACGAAGGCCAGGGGAGCAAACGGG